UAGGGAAUCUUCCGCAAUGGGCGAAAGCCUGACGGAGCAACGCCGCGUGAGUGAUGAAGGUCUUCGGAUCGUAAAACUCUGUUAUUAGGGAAGAACAAAUGGGUAAGUAACUAUGCAUGUGUUGACGGUACCUAAUCAGAAGGCCACGGCUCACUACGUGCCAGCAGCCGCGGUAAUACGUAGGUGGCAAGCGUUAUUCGGAAUUAUUGGGCGUAAAGCGCGCGUAGGCGGUUUUUUAAGUCUGAUGUGAAAGCCCGCGGCUCAACCGUGGAGGGUCGUUGGAAACUGGAAAACUUGAGUGCAGAAGAGGGAAGUGGAAUUCCAUGUGUAGCGGUGAAAUGCGCAGAGAUAUGGAGGAACACCAGUGGCGAAGGCGACUUUCUGGUCUGUAACUGACGCUGAUGUGCGAAAGCGUGGGGAUCAAACGGG
rnacentral:rRNA from 1 species